rnacentral:rRNA from 1 species
GUAGGUAUCUGCCCUUUGGCCUGGAAUAACACGAGGAAACUUGUGCUAAUACCGGAUAAGUCUUUACGGAGAAAGCUUUAUGCACCAUUGGAUGAGCCUGCACUUGAUUAGUUUGUUGGUGGGGUAAUGGCCUACCAAGACUGUGAUCAAUAGCUGAUUUGAGAGGAUGAUCAGCCACAUUGGGACUGAGACACGGCCCAAACUCCUACGGGAGGCAGCAGUGGGGAAUCUUGCACAAUGGAGGAAACUCUGAUGCAGCGAUGCCGCGUGAGUGAAGAAGGCCCUUGGGUUGUAAAGCUCUUUCGUCGGGGAAGAAAAUGACUGUACCCGAAUAAGAAGGUCCGGCUAACUUCGUGCCAGCAGCCGCGGUAAUACGAAGGGACCUAGCGUAGUUCGGAAUUACUGGGCUUAAAGAGUUCGUAGGUGGUUGAAAAAGUUAGUGGUGAAAUCCCAGAGCUUAACUCUGGAACUGCCAUUAAAACUUUUCAGCUAGAGUAUGAUAGAGGAAAGCAGAAUUUCUAGUGUAGAGGUGAAAUUCGUAGAUAUUAGAAAGAAUACCAAUUGCGAAGGCAGCUUUCUGGAUCAUUACUGACACUGAGGAACGAAAGCAUGGGUAGCGAAGAGGAUUAGAUACCCUCGUAGUCCAUGCCGUAAACGAUGUGUGUUAGACGUUGGAAAUUUAUUUUCAGUGUCGCAGCGAAAGCGAUAAACACACCGCCCUGGGA